AGCUCCAAUAGCGUAUAUUUAAGUUGUUGCAGUUAAAAAGCUCGUAGUUGGAUUUCGGAGAGGUACUGCCGGUCUGCCGUUUCGGUACGCACUGGCAGCGCCUUUCUUGCUGCCGGAAACGGGCUCCUGAGCUUAAUUGCUCGGGACUCGGUGUCGGCGAGGUUACUUUGAGUAAAUUAGAGUGUUCAAAGCAGGCCUACGCUCUGAAUACAUUAGCAUGGAAUAACACGAUAGGACUCUGGCCUAUCUCGUUGGUCUGUGGGACCGGAGUAAUGAUUAAGAGGGACAGUCGGGGGCAUUCGUAUUUCAUUGUCAGAGGUGAAAUUCUUGGAUUUAUGAAAGACGAACUUCUGCGAAAGCAUUUGCCAAGGAUGUUUUCA
rnacentral:rRNA from 1 species